rnacentral:SRP_RNA from 1 species
GUUGGGCAUGGUGGUGCAUGCCUGUAGUCCUAGUUACUCAGGAAGUUGAGGCAGGAGGAUCACUUGAGCCCGGGAGUUCCAGGCUGCAGUGAGCUAUGAUUGUGACACUGCACUCCAGCCUGGGUGACAUGGGGAGACCCUGACUCUA